rnacentral:rRNA from 1 species
CGGGGAACGAUAACGGCGUCGAGCGGCGGACGGGUGAGUAAUGCCUGGGAAAUUGCCCUGAUGUGGGGGAUAACCAUUGGAAACGAUGGCUAAUACCGCAUAAUAGCUUCGGCUCAAAGAGGGGGACCUUCGGGCCUCUCGCGUCAGGAUAUGCCCAGGUGGGAUUAGCUAGUUGGUGAGGUAAGGGCUCACCAAGGCGACGAUCCCUAGCUGGUCUGAGAGGAUGAUCAGCCACACUGGAACUGAGACACGGUCCAGACUCCUACGGGAGGCAGCAGUGGGGAAUAUUGCACAAUGGGCGCAAGCCUGAUGCAGCCAUGCCGCGUGUAUGAAGAAGGCCUUCGGGUUGUAAAGUACUUUCAGCAGUGAGGAAGGUGGUGUGCUUAAUACGUGCAUCAUUUGACGUUAGCUGCAGAAGAAGCACCGGCUAACUCCGUGCCAGCAGCCGCGGUGAUACGGAGGGUGCGAGCGUUAAUCGGAAUUACUGGGCGUAAAGCGCAUGCAGGUGGUUUGUUAAGUCAGAUGUGAAAGCCCGGGGCUCAACCUCGGAAUUGCAUUUGAAACUGGCAGACUAGAGUACUGUAGAGGGGGGUAGAAUUUCACGUGUAGCGGUGAAAUGCGUAGAG